GUGGGCGUUCCAAAUCCGAAGUUUAAAACACGGACUGCGCUCGGAGAAGCUUGGGGGAUUUUGUCUUCGGACGCGGGUUCGAUUCCCGCCGCCUCCACCA
rnacentral:tRNA from 1 species